rnacentral:rRNA from 1 species
AACGAACGCUGGCGGCAUGCCUAACACAUGCAAGUCGAACGAGACCUUCGGGUCUAGUGGCGCACGGGUGCGUAACGCGUGGGAACCUGCCCUUAGGUUCGGAAUAACUCCCCGAAAGGGGUGCUAAUACCGGAUAAUGUCUUCGGACCAAAGAUUUAUCGCCUUUGGGUGGGCCCGCGUUGGAUUAGCUAGUUGGUAGGGUAAAAGCCUACCAAGGCGACGAUCCAUAGCUGGUCUGAGAGGAUGAUCAGCCACACUGGGACUGAGACACGGCCCAGACUCCUACGGGAGGGAGCAGUGGGGAAUAUUGGACAAAGGGCGGAAGGCUGAACCAGCCAUGCCGCGUGAGUGAUGAAGGCCUUAGGGUUGUAAAGCUCUUUUAACCGGGAAGAUAAUGACAGGACCGGGAGAAAAAGCUCCGGCUAACUCCGUG